rnacentral:rRNA from 1 species
CCCGAUCCCAUUCCGAACUCGGCCGUUAAGCGCCGUCGCGCUGAUGGUACUGCGUCUCAAGACGUGGGAGAGUAAGUCACCGCCAGACCU